UUUCCUCUUGAUUUUCUUUUAAUGAUGUAUGUUUCCCAAAUGCAGGUGCUGUCAUCUAUUUGAAUUAACAUUGUCAGACUCAAACACCCUCAAAGGAUACGCCCUUUGCAGUGACCCAGACGAGUUUGAGGGAUGUUACAUACUAAACAUGCUGUGGAGAAAUGUUCAUUUCUGUGAAUGAGAGCAAGUCUUCAUCAAGGCUGCAGAAAGGCUCUUGGUGCACCUCUGUGGAGUGAAACGAUGAUGGGCAGUGGACAACACCUUUCCUCUCUUCAGCCGCCUUUGUCCUGCAACAUGUGGUGUUUCAGCAGGAGGAAGAAGGAGGGAAGAAGUCUCAGUCUGGAAACGGGAGCUGAGGAUAUUGAAGGCUGGUCUUCACCUUGAGGGAGGAAGGAGAAGCGGAGGAGGAGGAGGAGGUUGAUACCAUGAUUUUUCAGUGGCCUGGAAGAAAUUAGGAUGCUACAGACUCGCCUUGUCUGUCCUGUGUGAAGGCAAAUCCUUCUCAGUCAGUUAUCAUCAGAUAAACCCAAAAUAAGUUAUUCAAAAUGCUUUGCGUUUCCUGCCACAUAACUUGCAGUCUCCUGUAUUUCACACAUAAAUACUUACCGAGUCCUCACAUGGGCCCAAAAAAUUGCAAUUACUGCUUUUGCGCUGAGGUUUUAUGAGGAGCAGAAUGUCUUAUUUGUCCACGUGGGUGCAGAAGCUGUAUAUGCAGCUGAAGCUUAGGGAAGCACUAAAUGCAAAAAAGAA